CAAAAUGUGACCCCUCUCCCACUUUGUAUAUGAUAUUGCGUUAUCGAACCCCCUUAUUUACUAGUUCUAUCACGGUGAGGGAAAAUACCAUGCCCAAAAUUGUAACGAAAAACAGACAUUUCUGUGAUAAAUUCAAAAAUGGUAAACCGCUUUUGCCGAUGUUCCCGCAUUAAUAUUACGUUUCGUUCUCCCUGUGAUUGAAUAAAGCAGGCCAUGAAAUCAAAACUUGCUAACUCACCAGGCCAAUGAGAAGAUCGUGUGCCUAAUUACAAGGCAAUGGCUGACGGUGGUUGUUGUUGGUUGAAAUAUUUGUAUGCAUUUUGUUUGUAAAAGUAUUGUUAUUUUAUUUCAUUUUGUAUAUGUGUUGUUACAUCACCGAAAAUGAACAACCACAACAUGACACUGAAUUUCAGUGAAAUAUGCCGCCUUUGUUUGCUAAAAGAAGGCGAAAUGUCAUCUAUUUUUGCAGUACCUCUUCCGAAACGGAUUAUGUCAUUUGUAUCUUUUGAGAUAUUUGAAGGAGAUGGUCUUCCAGCAUUGAUUUGUCAACAGUGCUGCCAUGAAGUAGAUAGAUCGUACAAGUUUAAGAUGAAGUGUGAAACUUCUGAUGCGAUGCUGAAGCAGUACAUUAAGAAAUCCCCUGACAACUCAGAAGAUGAGGGUGUUACUGAGAAUACAGGUAUGAAGGAAGAGAGUCCAGAUGAGGAUAGUCAUGAUACAGGAAUGAAGGAAGACAGUCAAGAUGAAGAUAGCUGCGACAAAACAGAAAGUUCUGGCAACUUGCCCAAGUUCAGAAAUAUUGUUCCACGCAGAGAGCAAGCAAGUACGUCACAGUCUGAAAAAAUUGUUAUACUGUGCAAUGUAGAUGCUUUUGGAAAUGGUUUAACUGCACUGCAAACACCAUUUGCAAAUGACGCCUCUCGGAAAGAAGAUAAAAAGAAACGAAGGAGAGGAACAAUUCAAAGAGUAACUAGGAAAACACGUUUAAGAAGGUUGGUUAAAAAUAAAAAGACUUUGUCUACACAAGGUACAGCUUACCAACCACAACCCCUGCCAUCACUACCAUCAGUGUUGAAGAAUGACAUGGAAAUGGAAGAGGAAGACGACAUUCUUGGUGAAGACAAACCACCAUUUAUUUGUAAGAUCUGUUCAAAAUCAUUUUCAAAGCGUGACAAUUUGAAGAAACAUGAAAUAAUUCAUCGAGGGGAAAAACCAUAUUUAUGUGAGGAGUGUGGGAAGUCAUUUGCUCGGAAACAGGACCUAAAUGUGCAUAGGCGGUAUCAUUCCGGAGUACGACCGUACGCGUGUAGCCUCUGUGAUAAGACUUUCCACAGUUACUCUGGUCUUAAGAGUCAUGAGAACAGACAUAAUGGUAUCAAACCUUUUCUUUGUAAUGCGUGUGGCAAAACUUUUGUCCAGAAAAGCCAGCUCACAAAUCAUGAAAGAGUACAUACGCAGGAGAAGCCUUAUGCAUGUACACUUUGUGAGAAGACUUUUACGACACUUACGAAUCUCAAGACACACCAGAAACGGCACUCAGGGAUUAACGAUUUUUCCUGCGGUUCGUGCGGGAGGACAUUCUUCACAAAAUCAGGUCUUGAGAGGCAUGAGCUGCUUCAUACUGGACAUAAGGCCUUUCCUUGUGAGCUAUGUGAGCUUUCCUUCUUUACUAAGUCUGAGAUCACAAGACAUAUGCGUUAUCAUAAGGGUGAAAAGCGCUUUACGUGUAUGCAGUGUAACAAAUCAUUCAUUGAAAACCAGCAUCUUAUAAUCCAUGAACGAAUACACACAGGAGAACGUCCUUACUUGUGUCAAUUGUGCAAAAAAUCAUUCUACACCAAGUCGAAACUCAAUCGACACAUGCGUACACAUGUCAGUAGGUCCUAGUUGAAGAUCUACUGUAUGUAUAAAUGGAAGGAUAAGAACUGGAUCCCUGGAGGAAGGUACGAGUGAAGUCAGUGAGUAACAGAAUGAGGCACAGGUUCUUAAAAUUUAAUAUCACGUGCUUGAGAAAUCAGAAUUUGAGAACCUUAUCUUUUCCAAUAAUUUCUUCUUCCAGACACUGGUUUCGUGUGGCCAAUUUCAAUCAGAUAUCCUUUACACAUAUGUUAGCUUUCUGAAAGAAACAAUGUGAUUUAAUUUAAGGCCUGCAAGAUCCUGGGCUUUGUCUGAUGUUUGAGUAGCGCACAUGAUAUUCAGUCUUGGUACAGUUGCAUAACUUUUGGCAUCGACAAAAAUGAAUUUACAAAAUAAGAUUUACCAUGUUAUAUUGGUACUGAAAGGAUAAGAAACUUUUUUUUUAGUGUUUGGACCUUUCUCUCUUGUAUGAAAGAGAUAAGAAAUGCAUACAAAUUUUUAGCCUGUAAAUCUGAAGGGAAUAUACCACAUUGGAGAUCUAGGUGUAGAUGGUGGGAUAAUAUUAAAAUGGAUAUUGAAUAAAUAGGGUAUUAGUAUGUAUAUUGGAUUAUCUGGCUCAGGAUGGGUCCAGUAGCUGGCUCAUGUGAACACAAUUAUGAAUUUUAAGGUUCCAUAAAAAUGGAAAAUUUAUUAACAAUUUGAGUGACUGUUGGUUUCCCAAAUACUCUGUUCUAUUGAAUUGGUUACAAACUUAAAAUUUGCCAAAGUGAAAAGGUUGUGUCUAAUUUUGAAACAUUUGAAUUUAAUCUUGUUUUUGUAAGGUAUGCAAUAAAAUCCAUGCUCACCAUGAAUUUUGACAACAUUAAAGCGAGAGUAAAAAGUGGCAAAUAUGUUCUGACAAUAAACAAGAAAAGACUAGCAGAAAUGUCAGUAAGCUGUGCAAAAGAAGUUUUGGCUGUGAACUACACGAAACUAUAUUGAAAUUGGUGAGUCACAGCAUCAUGUAUCAUUAGUUGUGUUUGAUUUGACUUACAUAUUGGGUUUAACUGGUUUAGGUUAGUGAUAAUGCAAUCAACUCAUAUUAUUGCAAUAUUCACAUUAAAUUUCUGGCCUGGUAAUACUGACCUGAGUUUCUAAGGGAUUAUUUAAUCAGUCCCUGAAGAAAACGCCAGGAAAUUAUUUUACUUGAUUGCCGUUAAUAACAUGAGACUUUUUUUCAGAAUUUAUUUAAAAUCAUUGGCAGAUUGAUUCAUAAAAUGGCGUGUUUCAUCAUGGCGCACAGCCAGUGUCAUUAUAGAUACCAGAAGCAGGUUAAUAUGGAAAUGGUUUUGUUUGUCCGGUGCAGGUAAUGUAUUGAAGGUAAUUGGGCGGCACAAAGUAAAUUUCUAAGCUAUGGGCCAUGCUGACCUCCAGCAUAGUCAUCCUUCUGAAGUAUGCAGUAGGAAAGAACUAAAAAAACAAUAUUUAUUGAAAUAAAUUCCUACUUCUCACAAGUUUUUUAAUUUUAUUUAUGUCAAAGGAGUAUUGGUACAAAAUAUCUGUGAUUGCAGAUUCAUUGUAGUUAAAUCCCUGAUAUAUUUAAUAUACAGUGGGUUUGAGGAAUUCAGCUUGGGGACCACUGCAGUAAGGGGAAAAAUAUCUUCAUCAUUAGUCUCCAAAGCAUGCUUUUUUAUAUGUGACUGAUAAAUUUUUAGUGGUGAUUUUAUUUUUAGCAAUUGAAUAUUUAAAGGGCAGGGUUGUUUUGAAUUGUGCGUAUCAGAAUCUGUCUAUAGAAAAGUCCUGUGAAACAUAUCACAUGUACGUGGGAGAGAAGGAAAAUGUAUAAAAUAUGUGGUCAUAUAACCUGAAUGGAAGUGACCACUUGGAAGACCUAGACAUGGAUGGAAGGAUAAUAUAGAACUUUGUGUUAAAGAAUUUUGAUGUGAGGAUAUGGAUUGGAUACAUCUGGCUCAGGAUAGGGACAAGUGGCUGGCUAUCAUGAAUGCGUUGGAAAUUGGAGUUUUUAUAAAUGGUGGAUCAUUUCUUGAAGACGUGAAUAACUGUUAGCAUCUCAAGAAGCAUUCUGCUCCGUAAAGUUAAUCUGAAUGUGCAAAUAUUUUGUUUGAGACCGAAAUAAUGGUAUUUGUAAUAAAAUAAAAUAUAUAUUGUCCAUGGAUCAUAAACUAAUUUCCAUGAUCUGUGAGAUUUGUUACAGACAGAUAUGUUUAGCUUUACCACUGCCUUGGUGUUACAUUUACAUGGAUAAAAUGUUGGCCUUUUAAUGUGUUUGGCACUCAGUUUACUCUCCUUGCUUUUUGAUAGAGGUGUAACAAAUUUAUAUGUUGGAUACCUGUAACAAGCAAUUUUAUUGUAAUUUAUAUAUUAAAUAAAAUAUGUAUUUGCUUUUUA